GGAGACGUAUCGAAGUGGUCAUAACGGGCUUGACUCGAAAUCAAGUAGCCUCUCGUGGGCUCGAGGGUUCGAAUCCCUCCGUCUCCGCCA
rnacentral:tRNA from 1 species